CCUAGAAGAACCCCCACCUCACCUUCAACAGGCCACCUCUGAAGGCAGAAGUGACAAUUUUCUUUGAUUUCCUCUGUACUUCUUCACUCUUCCCCACCAUGCGUGUCCAGCCAGACUAGUGUUCCGCUGGGGCUGGUAUCACGAAAUGUCCCUUUCCACGAAAAUCCCUUUUUCAAAGUGUGGGGUUUAAAAUAAAUGUGUUCACCACAACAGGAUACCCCUUCCCAGCUGCCGUCACGAAGACUGGAGACAGGGGCCAGCAAGGACACGAGGACCCCGGGGCAUCGUGCUGGGAAUCCAAGCCCACGCAGACACCACGGAGAAUACGGCGCUUCCUUGAAACACGAUAAAGAAAAUCACCCGUAGGCUCCAGCAACCCCACUUCUGGGUGUUUAUCCAAAGAGAGGGACAUCGCUCUGUCCAAGCGGCAUCUGCCUCCCUGCCGUCAUGGCCGCAUCAUUCACAAGACACGGGAGCAGCCUGAGGGACCCCGGUGGGUCAACGGGUAAAGAAAAUGUGGUGUCUACAGCCAGCCAUAAAAAAAGAACCCAGUCCUGCCAUUCGUGACAGUGCAGAUGAACGGCGAGCAUCUUGCGCUCACUGAGAUAGUCAUCGGGAGCCGGACGGACACCAUUGAUCUCACUUCUCUGCAGAACCUUGAAAAGAAAAGAGACUGCGUAGACACGGGGAUCCUGUUUGUGGUUGCCGGGUGAGACCACCCCGGCUCAGUGCAGGACGGGGAGAUGGCUGUGGGGCCGUGGAGACCGGACAGGCUGGAGGGGCCCCAGCUGAAAGCAGAGGAGCCUGGCAACCUGCUUCUUGGUGGAACAUCCUGGAAGUGGACAUGGCUGAGAGACCCACGAGAGCUUGAGGGAGCUUCCCUGGCCAGCUCCGUGGGUUGGUUUGCAGGCGACAGGGGACACCUGCUCACAUUCCACGAGCCACUGCAAGGCCCAGGACCCACAAGGUCACUGCAAGGCACAGUGACCCGCACCCGGGAGGAGAGGAGAACCGGGCAUCUCGGUGAGAGGUGGGGGGCUAGCGAUUUCCCUCACACCCCAGGGGACCCCCAGACCUGAGCAGCCUGAUGCCGAGAAGGACAGAUCCCAGUCCUGGGCUCCCAGGGCUGGGUGAGGACCCAGGGACUGUCAAGACAUGCAGAAGAUGCUCUCCCUCCCCCUGUCCCUGGGGACACGGAUAGAGCUAGGAGGAACCACAAGACGAGAGUCCUUGGAAGGGUUACCCCAAAAGGGAGUGCAUUUGCCCCAGAAGAGGCUAGCAAGUGACGAGAGAAGGGUCUCUGCCAUCAGGAGGGGAAGAGUUUUCCUAGAACGAUGGCCAGAUGAGGGGAUGUUCCAAGGCUAGCUGCAGAAACCCCGGAGGACAGAGGGCAGGGUCCCAUGCGGAAGGAUGGGGCCCAGCCCUCCAGGCGUGGUGCCAUCAAGCCGUCCUGCCUUCUCUGUGAUGGUGGCUGCCAUGUCGUGGGAAAGGAGUGUCCCCACUAAUGAGGAUCUGAAGACCCCAGGGCCAAGGGCAGAGAGGAGCAGUGGGUAGCCAUGGAAACCAAGCCUCAGGGAAGCUCAGGGGCUUGCUAGGCGGCGACACAGCCAACGAGUGCCAGAGCUGGAAUCCAAGCCCGCUUCGGGCUGUGUCUGCAGAACGUCUCAGAGUCUGCCCACCUCCCUCUACCGUGCUUCGUCAUAUGUGAAAAUCUGAUUUCUCUUUCAACGGCUGCCACAGAGAGGCCCAGGGCAUGGCCACCGACAGGCAGAGGGGAGCACCCAGCUGGAGCUGUUGACAGCACCUUCCUCCUUCCCAGGGAAACACAGCUGGACCGCUUGGAGUCUCCACGUCUGAUACUCAGGUGAGAAAGCUGAGGGCCAGAGAGGUGAGCAUCCCGUCCGAGGUCGCACAGCCCUCCUAGACCUUGGCUGUGAGCCAUCGCCCGCCACCGUUGCAGGAAGCGUUCCUGGAAAGCAAGCCGGCCCUGGGUUCCUUGUAGAGAUCAGAGGAGCCACAAGAUCCCCAGGCCAGGGCAGAGGUCCCCACCCUGGACGCGGGUGACACUUCCCCUGGGAGGGCGGGGCUGGGACAUGAAGAUCUCAGCCCUGAACACCGAGUUCUCCCGCUACAAGGUUCUCAGUAGACUGGGGACAGCCUGUCCUGACUGGCUUCCUGUCACCUCCCCCACCCUCCCCGCCAUCUCCUGGCCUGUCUCUGGGGCUCCCAGCACAGGAGAGGGGAUCUUGGGGGCACUCCUGAGCUAAAAGGCCGUCAUAGCUUACAAGACGCCGCCCCUCUUGGCUCUUCACGGAAGGAAUUUUUUUUUUCCCCCAGUUAAUCCAAGCGAUGCGUGGCAAUGUGAUAGAACAUCAAAUAUGGGGGCGACUCGGGGGGCACAGUCGGUUGAGCGUCUGACUCUUAAUUUCUGCUCAGGUUAUGGUCUCAGGGUCCUGGGAUGGAGCCCC